rnacentral:rRNA from 1 species
CGGCGGACGGGUGAGUAACACGUGGAUAACCUACCUAUAAGACUGGGAUAACUUCGGGAAACCGGAGCUAAUACCGGAUAAUAUUUUGAACCGCAUGGUUCAAAAGUGAAAGACGGUCUUGCUGUCACUUAUAGAUGGAUCCGCGCUGCAUUAGCUAGUUGGUAAGGUAACGGCUUACCAAGGCAACGAUGCAUAGCCGACCUGAAAGGGUGAUCGGCCACACUGGAACUGAGACACGGUCCAG